rnacentral:ncRNA from 2 species
ACCCUAUCCAGAGCGCCUGAGAGACCUGGCUCGUUGACGGCGCGGCAACCGGACCCCAUCACGUCACGGUGCCAAGGCCAGCCCGCCCGCGAGGUCAACGAUGACCU